UUUAACGGCGAGUGAAGCGGCAAAAGCUCAAAUUUGAAAUCUGGUACCUUCGGUGCCCGAGUUGUAAUUUGGAGAGGGCAACUUUGGGGCCGUUCCUUGUCUAUGUUCCUUGGAACAGGACGUCAUAGAGGGUGAGAAUCCCGUGUGGCGAGGAGUGCGGUUCUUUGUAAAGUGCCUUCGAAGAGUCGAGUUGUUUGGGAAUGCAGCUCUAAGUGGGUGGUAAAUUCCAUCUAAAGCUAAAUAUUGGCGAGAGACCGAUAGCGAACAAGUACAGUGAUGGAAAGAUGAAAAGAACUUUGAAAAGAGAGUGAAAAAGUACGUGAAAUUGUUGAAAGGGAAGGGCAUUUGAUCAGACAUGGUGUUUUGUGCCCUCUGCUCCUUGUGGGUAGGGGAAUCUCGCAUUUCACUGGGCCAGCAUCAGUUUUGGUGGCAGGAUAAAUCCAUAGGAAUGUAGCUUGCCUCGGUAAGUAUUAUAGCCUGUGGGAAUACUGCCAGCUGGGACUGAGGACUGCGACGUAAGUCAAGGAUGCUGGCAUAAUGGUUAUAUGCCGCCCGUCUUGAACACGGACCAAA
rnacentral:rRNA from 1 species